GAAAGAGAGCAUGUGGUGUACAAGCUACGAAACAGGCGGUCUCCCCUAGCCUACAUAAGUAAAUUGACCAUAAAUCCAAUUCCCUGGUGCGAGGGCGGGAGGAGAGGGAGAGGAAGAGAGAGGGAGGGGUGGGGGGUGGGGGAGAGAGUAUCCGGGAAAGAAGAAGCAAAUAGCAAAGAGACGCCAAUUAGACCGGCAAAAUCGGCCCGGAGCCGUGGAGAGCAUAGCCACUUGGCUACUUCGGCAUCAUCGGUUUUAAAAAUCACAAUUUUGAACAUAUUAUUUUCACAGUUGGCUUAUUCUAUCGAUGCUGUUGGCUUGAAUGAAUUUUCUUAACGUAACUUACAGCCACAGCAGUUGGACCGCGUUUUACAUCUGUGUGCUGUGCCUAGCUCUCAGCGGAUUAAACGGUCGUCUCCGGAGCCUGCUGCAGAGGAAUAGGGGAAUUUCAGCACCCUGGACAGCGACUAGCAGUUGAGGCAGUGGCGAGGCCGGCACGUGGCAGAGGGGGGAGAGUAUGCUCCGUCUCUGGCCCAGUGUGAGAGCCUCCCUCCGGGGAAGCUGCCUUUGGACGCAGGGCCCCACGGGCCGCUGACCCCGCUCCCUUGUCUCUGUGAUUUAUGGCUACUGGGGAUCUGGCCACUGCAGACUCCUCUCUCGAUUUCACAUUCACAAAUACACACACACACACACACACACACUGCACCACUGGACAGAGCCACACACACUGCACCACCGUGGCCAGUGCUGCCCCACAGGGUGAUUCCGCCACACACUGAG